rnacentral:lncRNA from 1 species
AAGGCAGAUUCCUUUACCCCUCUACUCACAAAUCCUCAAUAAUCCCUCACUGCCUUUUACAGAAAGCCUCCGGUUAAACUCAUUCUAUGACCAUUCCUCAACCCCCGACCCCCUGCUAUUACAGAAUAAUUCUGAAACAGUGUAAUAAAUAUUGCAGAGGGAAAUGCUAAGUGCUGUUCUCUGUUAUGUAUCAUAACAGUAUGCACUCAUGAAUAGGAUUAGUGCUCUUAAUAAAAGAAACUCCAGAGAGCUCUCUCACCCCCCUUGCACCAUGUGAGGGUGCAAAGAGAAGAUGGUCAUCUAUGUACCAGAAAGCUGGUCUUCACCAAACACUGAAUCUGCUGGCCCCUUGAUCUUGAACUUCCCAGCCUCUAGAACUGUAAGAGACAAAUUUCUAUUGUUUGAAAGCCAUCUAACUUAUGUUACUUUGUUAUAGCAGCCCGAACAAAGACAAUAACUUCAAUUCCACCUGAAAGUAGUGUCAAUUCAUCUUAUCAGUACUGAGAAAUGUGUUUUCUGGAAACUCAUUCUUCAUUCGAUUAGUUGGUUGGAAUCUCUUGCCAUUUUUUGAGUAAAAAUCAUAAUCAUCCUACCGGUAAUAUUCUAUUAAGUAGCUGUACAUCAACAAUGGCUUAGCUCUUUAUACUUUUAGGUAUUGGUCUGUAUGAAUUACAAAGAAGGGAUGUAUGAUAACCAUUUUAAUUGCCAAGUAAUUUGCAAAAUUAUUUUUUUAAUAAAAUGUUAUACUAAGUGAUUUGAAUCAUUGAUCACAUCUUACAAAAAAACACUUACAAAACACACAAAAACUUCCAUUCUAAGAGUUUAUCCUUGUGCCUUGAAUAAAGUAGGAAGUUAAGAUUUACAGCCUCAGGAAAAUUAAAAUGACAAUUACAAUACAAAAUUCUAAGAAAUAGGAACUUAUUAAAAUUGUGUGCUUAAGAGAAAAG